UACGUAGGGUGCAAGCGUUGUCCGGAAUCAUUGGGCGUAAAGCGUGCGCAGGCGGUUUUUGUAAGUCUGUCGUGAAAUCCCCCGGGCUCAACCUGGGAAUUGCGAUGGAGACUGCAAAGGCUGGAGUCUGGCAGAGGGGGGGUAGAAUUCCACGUGUAGCAGUGAAAUGCGUAGAGAUGUGGAGGAACACCGAUGGCGAAGGCAGCCCCCCUGGGUCAAGAUUGGACGCUCAU
rnacentral:rRNA from 1 species